rnacentral:rRNA from 2 species
CGGGAGGCAGCAGUAGGGAAUCUUCCACAAUGGACGAAAGUCUGAUGGAGCAACGCCGCGUGAGUGAUGAAGGUUUUCGGAUCGUAAAACUCUGUUGUUAAAGAAGAACAAGUGUUAGAGUAACUGUUAACACUUUGACGGUAUUUAACCAGAAAGCCACGGCUAACUACGUGCCAGCAGCCGCGGUAAUACGUAGGUGGCAAGCGUUGUCCGGAUUUAUUGGGCGUAAAGCGAGCGCAGGCGGUUUUGUAAGUCUGCUGUGAAAGCCCUCAGCUCAACUGAGGAAGUGCAGUGGAAACUACAAAACUUGAGUACAGAAGAGGAAAGUGGAACUCCAUGUGUAGCGGUGAAAUGCGUAGAUAUAUGGAAGAACACCAGUGGCGAAGGCGGCUUUCUGGUCUGUUACUGACGCUGANGCUCGAAAGCAUGGGUAGCGAACAGGAUUAGAUACCCUGGUAGUCCAUGCCGUAAACGAUGAAUACUAGGUGUUGGAGGGUUUCCGCCCUUCAGUGCCGCAGCUAACGCAUUAAGUAUUCCGCCUGGGGAGUACGACCGCAAGGUUGAAACUCAAAGGAAUUGACGGGGGCCCGCACAAGUGGUGGAGCAUGUGGUUUAAUUCGAUGCUACGCGAAGAACCUUACCAGCUCUUGACAUCUUCUGCCAACCCAAGAGAUUGGGCGUUCCCUUCGGGGACAGAAUGACAGGUGGUGCAUGGUUGUCGUCAGCUCGUGUCGUGAGAUGUUGGGUUAAGUCCCGCAACGAGCGCAACCCUUAUUAUUAGUUGCCAGCAUUUAGUUGGGCACUCUAGUGAGACUGCCGGUGAUAAACCGGAGGAAGGUGGGGACGACGUCAAAUCAUCAUGCCCCUUAUGAGCUGGGCUACACACGUGCUACAAUGGAUGGUACAACGAGUCGCGAAACCGCGAGGUCAAGCUAAUCUCUUAAAGCCAUUCUCAGUUCGGAUUGCAGGCUGCAACUCGCCUGCAUGAAGUUGGAAUCACUAGUAAUCGUGGAUCAGCAUGCCACGGUGAAUACGUUCCCGGGCCUUGUACACACCG